GAUGAACGCUGGCGGCGUGCCUAAUACAUGCAAGUCGAGCGAACAGAUGAGGAGCUUGCUCCUCUGACGUUAGCGGCGGACGGGUGAGUAACACGUGGAUAACCUACCUAUAAGACUGGGAUAACUUCGGGAAACCGGAGCUAAUACCGGAUAAUAUAUUGAACCGCAUGGUUCAAUAGUGAAAGACGGUUUUGCUGUCACUUAUAGAUGGAUCCGCGCCGCAUUAGCUAGUUGGUAAGGUAACGGCUUACCAAGGCAACGAUGCGUAGCCGACCUGAGAGGGUGGAUCGGCACCAAGGAACUGAGGAACGGGUCAAAAACCAUAGGGAGGAAAGAGUAAGGAAUUCUUCGGGCAGGGCGAAAGCCUGACGGAGCAAAGCCGCGUGAGUGAUGAAGGUCUUCGGAUCGUAAAACUCUGUUAUUAGGGAAGAACAAAUGUGUAAGUAACUAUGCACGUCUUGACGGUACCUAAUCAGAAAGCCACGGCUAACUACGUG
rnacentral:rRNA from 1 species